GAUGAACGCUGGCGGUGCGCCUAACACAUGCAAGUCGAGCGAACAGACGGGGAGAUCGUGCCUCAGACGUUGGCGACUGUCGGGCGAGUGACACGUAGAUAUGCCUCCUAUUACACUUGUGUAACCUCGUGAACCCGCAGCUAAUAUUGGAUCAUAUCUCGAACCGCAUGGUUCCUUGGCGCAUCAGCGUUUUCCUGAUUCUUUUAGCCGAAUACGCGCCGCAUUAGCUAGUUGGUAAGGUAACGGCUUACCCAGGCGACGAUGCGUAGCCGACCUGAGAGGCUGAUCGGCUACACUGUAUCAGAGACACGGACCAGACUCCUACGGGAUGCAGCAGUAGGGAAUCUGCCGCAAUGGGCGAGAGCCUGACGGAGCAACAUCGCGUGGGUGAUGAAGGUCUUCGGAUCGUAAGACGCUGUUGUUGGGGAAGAACAGAUGUGUAAUUAACUAUGCACGUCUUGACGGUACCUAAUCAGAAAGCAACGGCUAACUACGUG
rnacentral:rRNA from 1 species